AUUUCAUUUAAAAUUAAAAUAGAAUUUAAUUUUUUAGUCAAAAAGCCAAAAUAAAUUUAAAAGACGAGAAGACCCAAUAAAUCUUUAUAUUUUAUUUAUUUUAAUUAUAAAGAUUAAUUUAAUUUUAACAAAUUAAAAUAUUUUAUUGGGGUGGUAUUAAAAUUUAAAAAACUUUUAAUUUUUAAAAAUAUUAAUUUAUGAAUAAUUGAUCCAUUAAUAAUGAUUAAAAAAUUAAGCUACUUUAGGGAUAACAGCGUAAUUUUUUUGGAGAGUUCAUAUCGAUAAAAAAAAUUGCGACCUCGAUGUUGGAUUAAGAUAUAAUUUUGGGUGUAGCCGUUCGAAUUUUAAGUCUGUUCGACUUUUAAAUUUUUACAUGAUCUGAGUUCAAACCGGCGUAAGCCAGGUUGGUUUCUAGCUUUAAAAAUUUGCAAUAUUUUAGUACAAAAGGACCAAAUAUU
rnacentral:rRNA from 1 species